rnacentral:rRNA from 1 species
UACGGAGGGUGCGAGCGUUGUCCGGAAUCACUGGGCGUAAAGAGCGUGUAGGCGGCUCGCUAAGUCUUGCGUGAAAUCUCGGGGCUCAACCCCGAGCGGUCGUGAGAAACUGGCGGGCUAGAGUGCGGGAGAGGAGAGUGGAAUUCCUGGUGUAGCGGUGAAAUGCGCAGAUAUCAGGAAGAACACCCGUGGCGAAGGCGGCUCCCUGGAACGCAACUGACGCUGAGACGCGAAAGCGUGGGGAGCAAACAGG